rnacentral:rRNA from 1 species
UGCCAGCCGCCGCGGUAAUACGGAGGGGGCAAGCGUUAAUCGGAAUUACUGGGCGUAAAGCGCGCGUAGGCGGCUUUGUAAGUCGGAUGUGAAAGCCCCGGGCUUAACCUGGGAAUUGCAUUCGAUACUGCAUAACUAGAGUACGGUAGAGGGAAGUGGAAUUUCCGGUGUAGCGGUGAAAUGCGUAGAUAUCGGAAGGAACACCAGUGGCGAAGGCGACUUCCUGGGCUCAUACUGACACUGAGGCGCGAAGGCGUGGGUAGCAAACGGGAUUAGAUA